rnacentral:SRP_RNA from 2 species
GCCGGGUGUGGUGGCUCAUGCCUGUAAUCCCAGCACUUUGGGAGGCUGAGGCGGGAUGAUCACCUGAGGUCAGGAGUUUGAGACCAGCCUGACCAACAUGGUGAAACCCUGUCUCUA